rnacentral:rRNA from 1 species
AUUGAACGCUGGCGGCAUGCCUUACACAUGCAAGUCGAACGGUAACAGGUUAAGCUGACGAGUGGCGAACGGGUGAGUAAUGUAUCGGAACGUGCCCAGUCGUGGGGGAUAACUGCUCGAAAGAGCAACUAAUACCGCAUACGACCUGAGGGUGAAAGCGGGGGAUCGCAAGACCUCGCGCGAUUGGAGCGGCCGAUAUCAGAUUAGGUAGUUGGUGGGGUAAAGGCCUACCAAGCCUACGAUCUGUAGCUGGUCUGAGAGGACGACCAGCCACACUGGGACUGAGACACGGCCCAGACUCCUACGGGAGGCAGCAGUGGGGAAUUUUGGACAAUGGACGCAAGUCUAAUCCAGCCAUGCCGCGUGCGGGAAGAAGGCCUUCGGGUUGUAAACCGCUUUUGUCAGGGAAGAAAAGGUUCUGGUUAAUACCUGGGACUCAUGACGGUACCUGAAGAAUAAGCACCGGCUAACUACGUGCCAGCCGCCGCCGUAAAAC